GACUGGCACCAGCAAAGGAUCACAAGGACAAGAGGACAUGUUGAGAGGCCAUAGGUAAUGGUUGUGACCAAGACGUUGAUGCAGAAAAAUGGUGGUGUUCAAUGAUGUCUCCCCAUAGCUGGACUUUUUGUUGGAUGCUCUUUUGAUUGAUAUUGAAUCCACAGAGAUUUCUGGCUUCAUGGAUGGGCAAACACUGAACACUUGUGGAUACACUUGAAUAAGAAGAGAAAGAGCCUGUAUCCAAGGCUAUCACAGAGGCAGCUAAGACUGCCAAGCAGCUGACCUCUGAAGUACAGGCUCUGCUGACAAUUUGAAACAUAAACACAGCAUUUCUGCUGAGAAAUCUGCUGUGAGUC
rnacentral:lncRNA from 13 species